rnacentral:tRNA from 1 species
GGCGCUGUAGUGUAGAGGUUAUCACUCGAGAUUUUGACCCCCACCCAAUUCUCGAAACCCAGGUUCGAGUCCUGGCAGUGCCU